rnacentral:rRNA from 1 species
CAAGCCUGAGUGCAGCCAUGCCGCGUGUAUGAAGAAGGCCUUCGGGUUGUAAAGUAUUUCAGCAGUGAGGAAGGCAGGUACGUUAAUAGCGUGCUUGUUUGACGUUAGCUGCAGAAGAAGCACCGGCUAACUCCGUGCCAGCAGCCGCGGUAAUACGGAGGGUGCGAGCGUUAAUCGGAAUUACUGGGCGUAAAAGCGCAUGCAGGUGGUUUGUUAAGUCAGAUGUGAAAGCCGGGGCUCAACCUCGGAAUUGCAUUUGAAACUGGCAGACUAGAGUACUGUAGAGGGGGUAGAAUUUCAGGUGUAGCGGUGAAAAUGCGUAGAGAUCUGAAGGAAUACCGGUGGCGAAGGCGGCCCCCUCGGACAGAUACUGACACUCAGAUGCGAAAGCGUGGGGAGCAAACAGGAUUAGAUACCCUGGUAG